rnacentral:lncRNA from 1 species
GGGGGUCUCUUCGGGGGGCUGCGACACAGGUCGGAGUCUAGGCACGGUCUCCGCUUUUGGCAGAGGAUGAAAAUAAACUGCCGUCGUUUCGGGGCCGCAGACAGAAGGUUCGAGGUGCAUCAGUGUUAAUAAAUACGGAAACAUUUACUAGCAAAAAACGACAUCUCAUUUGAAUGAGUUGCGGAACGGGUAGCGUAGGGCGGCGGUGAACAGGUUAUUACCACCAUGCAUGCCAUGGUCAUGAAUGUUAAUUAAUUGUUGAGCGGACCCUGCCUGCGCCGGGCGAAGAUCCCGAAGGAGGAGGAGGAGGAGGAGAAAGAGGAGGAACGGCGAUGCCUGCGACCAGUUUGCACAGUUAAUAAAUGCGUGUGCGCGACAUCCAGCAGCAGCUCCUGUUUGUUUGCGGGGCUGUAGCGGCAGGCGUGGUACGGCGCGGUUUGCGCUGCGGAGACGUUACAGUGAUUGGAGGAGGAGGAGGAGGAGGAGGAGGAGGAGGAGAAGGAGGGGGGAGCUUUCUGGAGUUCGCGAUCCAGGGGACACCGGCGUCACACACGCCAAGGAGAUCUAGGAUAACAGUGGUGGACCUGCUGAGAUCCUGGAGAAAACGGAGGAAGUUACAGAAGACAAAGGAGGAAAAGUUUCUGCUUAUGAAAACUGGGAAAGAAUGAGAAAAGGUGGG